CCCCAGUAACUGCGAGUGAAGCGGCAACAGCCCAGAUUUGAAAUCCGGCUCUCCUGYGGGAGUCUGAGUUGUAAUCUGUAGAGGAUGUCGCUGGCCGACAGCUGCUUCBAAGUCCCCUGGAACGGGGUGCCAAAGAGGGUGAGAGCCCCGUGCGGUGCAGGCUGGAUGGUCAAUAUGCGGCUCCUUCGGCGAGUCGAGUAGUUUGGGAAUGCUGCUCUAAACGGGAGGUAAAUUCCUUCCAAGGCUAAAUAUCGGCCGGAGACCGAUAGCGCACAAGUAGAGUGAUCGAAAGAUGAAAAGUACUUUGAAAAGAGGGUCAAACAGUACGUGAAAUUGUUGAAAGGGAAGCGCCCGCGACUAGACUUGUACCUGACUGAUCGUCCUAUGCUCGUCGUAGGAUCUUCCCGGUCAUGGUUUUACAGGCCAGCAUCGGUUUGUGCUGGGGGAUAAGAACAGCGGGAACGUGGCUCGUCUAACGAUGAGUGUUAUAGCCUGUUGUACGGUACCCUGGAGCACAUCGAGGAACGCGUCUUUGACAUGGAUGCUGGCCUAAUGGUCGUUGA
rnacentral:rRNA from 1 species